rnacentral:rRNA from 1 species
GAUGAACGCUGGCGGCGUGCCUAAUACAUGCAAGUCGAGCGAACAGACGAGGAGCUUGCUCCUCUGACGUUAGCGGCGGACGGGUGAGUAACACGUGGAUAACCUACCUAUAAGACUGGGAUAACUUCGGGAAACCGGAGCUAAUACCGGAUAAUAUAUUGACCCGCAUGGUUCAAUAGUAAAAGACGGUUUUGCUGUCACUUAUAGAUGGAUCCGCGCCGCAUUAGCUAGUUGGUAAGGUAACGGCUUACCAAGGCAACGAUGCGUAGCCGACCUGAGAGGGUGAUCGGCCACACUGGAACUGAGACACGGUCCAGACUCCUACGGGAGGCAGCAGUAGGGAAUCUUCCGCAAUGGGCGAAAGCCUGACGGAGCAACGCCGCGUGAGUGAUGAAGGUCUUCGGAUCGUAAAACUCUGUUAUUAGGGAAGAACAAAUGUGUAAGUAACUAUGCACGUCUUGACGGUACCUAAUCAGAAAGCCACGGCUAACUACGUG